rnacentral:lncRNA from 1 species
CAAUGCCAGUAAAUGUGCUUCUCCUUGGCAGCCAGCAGAGGGGAAGAGGAGCCCACGGGAAAGAAAAGCAGGCGAGGUUAAGAAUAAAGAGUGUUCCAGGUAUGACAGCUACCUCGGUGAGGUGGAAGAGAGAAUUGACAAGGCAGAUUUCAUGGGUGAGUUGGAAAAGCAAGAAGCAGGACUACAAGAGGUCAUAUGUGAUAUCUUUCAAACCCAUCCUCAAUUCUCCUAUGUUGCCGAGGCUGGACUCCUGGUCUCAAGCCAUCCUCCUACUUCAGCCUCCCUAGAAGCUGCGACAAUAGGUAUUUACCACCGUGUUUAGCUUUUUCCAAAGACUUAAAAGAUGUAAAUGAGGGGGCC